CCUGAGCACACUACAUUCCCCCCCUUUGUGAACCUGUUUCACGCACAAGCACUGGCAGGGAGCAGGGGAGAAGCAGGACUCAGUGGUGCGCUCAGGGGAGGAGGCAGAGUGGAGGCGAGCUGGGGGCAGCAAUUAUUUCUGAGCCUAGGGGCGGCAAAAUCAUUAAUCCGCCACUGGUGGUGGAAAGAGGCAGAGAAGGGAUUUCACGUGAAAUCCCAUGUUCUUCGAUAUAGGGCAAAGGACUUCUUAAUUCAGAAGCCUGUCCCUCUUCUUGGAGGGAGAGAAGUUCCAUUUUGACACCAGGAUGUCUACAUCCUCUGAACAUGCUCACGCUGUGCCAGACUCACCGAUUCCUGCCAGUGCCAGAUGAUUGUGGUGCUCUUGGCAUAGGACCUAGGUUGGCAACAGCUGCCAUUUCACCCAUCACUGAGCUUAAAAACAAGGGGGAGGGGGAGAAAAAGAGAGAUUGUUAAGAUUUGGAGUUACAAUUAAGAUCUUAGGUAGCAGCUUUCAUCUUAACGCCUUUUGCAAUGGGUUUCUAGACUAGAGCACAUGGGAAUCGUUGGUGCACAGGGGUGCAAUGCAGGACAAAAAUCCUAAAGGGUUAUCCAUGAGCCACACCGCAAUGGCAUAUUCCUUUUCCCCCCUCCCCCAAAUGUUCUGCUUGGGCAGGACUAGGAGAUGCCCUAUGACCCCACUCAACACCACAGAUUUACACGUGUAUUCUGCAGCAUGAACCCAAAGCAAGUCCUGGUCAUCUUCUAUGCCACCUGUCCAUUGAGGCAGCAGCAGUGCCCAGGCAGAGCCAGUGAGAACUGAGCCCUGAAGAGACCUGUAUGCAACUGGGGAACCACUCAGAGGAGGUUGUCCAGAAGCUGUUCAGUUCCGGACAGACUUCCCCAGGACAUCACUGCAGUGUCACUUCAGGGACUGUGUGUCUGCAGCUCUCCAGUUAAGGGAUAUUUGAGCUACAUAUAACCUGCCUUGGGUUUGUGUCAGGGAAGGCAGACCAGGGCUCAACACAUCAAGGAGGUGGCUGUAUCCAAGUCUGAGGCAACACCUUAAUUUAGCCCAGGAAGCAAAUUCCAUCACUGCUAGUGAGACAUAGGAGGAAUUUGGGUCAUCAGAACUCUGCCGAAACAGAAGUAUGGCCAGGAUUCCAGGAACAAUAGCCACCUGUUUUUGAGAUGUGCUAAGGAUUUAAUGGCCAUAAGCACCAUUAAAGGACAGCACCUUCAGAAACAUAGGCUCCUGGCACCAGAGGAAGUGUGCCCCCAACAGGAACAAUUCACUCCACUACCUGCAGCAGCUUGGUAUUCCCUGAAAGCCUGUCCAAGCAUUGACAAAGAUCACCGCUCUGCAUGGUCUGUCUGUAGACAUAGCUAUAUGAACUUGUCCAGAGGAUUCCAAGUUUGCAGUCCAGGCAUAGAAUUGGAAGACACAGAAACCUGUGUAGCUGCAACAAGAGGGUCUUCACUUCCAAGGACAGACACUCAAUUCUUAGUCUGAACAGAGGCAUUUAGAUGAGAGGGUCUUAGGUCACUAGAACAUGACACAUUGGACAAUACACUGUUAGCUGGAAUGUGACCUUACUUUGUGGAUGCCUGGGAGAUGGCCCCUGGGGAGAUUGUUCUGGCUGCUGACCAUUUGCUUGAGGCCAAGCAUUAGAAGAAACCUGCAUUUGAAGUUGAGAAAGGUAGGGGCAUGUGAAUUGCCAUACCACAUCGGACCAGUGGUCCGUCUGGUCCAGUGUCCUCUCUCUGACUGUUCAGCAUCAGGUAUUUCAGAAGAUGGUGCAAAAAGCUCUCUAAUACAGUGGUUCUCAGCCAGGAGUACAUGUACCCCUGGGGGUAGGCAGAGGUCUUCCAGGAGGUACAACAAUUCAUCUAGAUAUUUGCCUAGUUUUACAACAGGCUACAUAAAAAGCACUAGC